GGAAAGGGAUCCCUGGACCUCACUGAUAGUUUCUCUAUUUUCACAUAGCUGAGAAAAGUCCCCAAAGUUGAUGCCAGCUUCUUUGGCCCACUGCUCAAGGGCUGGACGCAAAGGGACAACAACUGCUACACAAUAAUUGUGAAAGGGGUCUGCAUGUACCAUAACAUUAUCCACGUACUUGCUAGAUAGUAGGGCAGCCUCGGCCUUCCCUAGGGAUAUAUAUUCUCCAUGCUGGAGUUUAACGAUAUCUUUUUUCCUAUCUAUGAUCUCAAGGCAUCCAUCGGGAUGAAAUGCUCCUAUAUCUCCCGUG
rnacentral:misc_RNA from 1 species